UCCCACUGUCCAAAUCGGUGAAUCUUAGAUUUCACUCGUUGGUGAUCACUGUAAAAAGAAAACCCCAGUAAAAAAAGGGAAAGAAGAGGCGAAGAGCAAGGAGAGGAAAGAAACGAAAGAAAAAGAGAAGGGUGGAAACUAACUAAUUUCAACCUUAUAACGUAUGAACCAAAAUCUCGGCAGCAAGAUGAAGGAAAGUUCAGAAGAAGACUCACAUGUGGCAAGGGUGAAGAUGAAACAAGUAAAGUCAAGUCCAAUAUUCGGAAUGGGAGACAUUGGGAAAAUGCCAUAAAUGCAUGUGGGUGUCUUUUACUUGAAAGGGAGCGUCAGAAGUUGGACAAUGUUGAAUGUGAGCAGUUUUUGUAUAUUAGCACAUUUGCGCAGAAAUAAACUCUUGGGUGUGCGGUUUAUUGGUAAAUGGAGAAUUGGAGAUUUAAAGUGUGUAAGGAUGCUCCAUCCCAAUAUGCAAAUGGUGGAAGAUUGGUGCACAGAUAUUGCAAUCCCAACUGGAGUAAACCCACAUGUCCAUAAGCUCAUUCAGGUGCUUGUAUUCAAGAAAAUACAAAAUGUAAUUUAUCGACUUUCAUGCAAGGAGGAAUUGUAUCUGUUGCCAAAGCAACCAUUACAAAUUUAGAUCCUCAGAAGAUUGUGGAUGGUGUGCCACUUGGUUAUGGAUGGACAAAGGUCGUGAUCAAUGUUCCAAUUAUAAGUGAUGCACCACUAGUGCGCCCAUAUGGACGAUAAGGAAUAGUUGAAACCAUUGUUGGUGUUCCAAUUGCUUGGAGUUCAAUCCAUCCAGCCUCCACUUCCAAGUUCAAUGGUGCUGGAAAUAUGCUUGAGGACUAAUGAUCUGGAAAUUGUGAAGAAAUCACUUCCUUUACUGGCCAAGGAGCAUGGCUUUUGGAACUCAGGCAUACACAAGGUGACCAUUCAAGAUGCUCAGGCAUGCACUCACACUUUAAAUCAGUACUAUGCAAUGUGGAACAAGCCCAGACUAGAAAGUUCAACUAUUGGUAGUUCCCAGGUGAGCUCCAUUUGGGCUGGCGACUUAUAGUGUAUUGGAGAUUAUGCAUGGGGGAUGUGUGCAUGAUUACCUUAUAGCUAGCCUAGAUGGGCUCGUAAUUGGUGCCCAGGGGGAUUCUAGUAGAGGCACAUCUGGCAUUAGUGGCAACCUAUUUUGAUGCAGCGUCACACUAUUGGUUGUUGAAUUUUUUACCCCUAGCGCUAAGGAGCUGCCCUUACUGGAUGUAGGUGCAGAGGUCUCGGUUAGUAUAACUUAUGAGUUUAGUCUUAUUGAGUCCAAUCCUGGAACAGUCCAAUAGUAAUCAGGUUGCUGAGAUGGCCAACCCAAGUAAUGAGGAGAGGUUUGGUGAAAGUGAUUACCUUGAUCCUCUUUGCAAGCAUAGAGGGAGGAAGGGUUUCUGUAAAACUUGCAUCAAGUCACUAGAAUACCAAAUUCUUUGAAUGGAGGCCAGCCAGUAUGCAUCAACGAUCAAGCAGAAUGCAACGCUUUGCACUGAGGUCAAUAGGCUCUAUGCAAUGCUGACAUCCAAUGGCUUAGAUCCUGAUGGAGUCCCUUUGAGCAAGGGUGUGUUAGCAUUAUUCUCCUGAUAGCCAGAAGAUGAGUAUGCUUGUGCCAUUGUGCCCCCUGUUGUUUUACAUGGCAACACCGUUGCAGCAAACUCUCUUGAAUGGGUUACUUCAGAAGUGACAUCCCGAUCUUGUGAGAUUGUUGAGCCAUCUCCCUCCGGUGUGUCCAUGUACAAACAAAUAUCAACUCAGGCAAGGAGAGAGUGGUUCUACAGUAGCCUAGUGGUCUCCCCAUAUCAAGCUCUAGGGCAACAUGGGCUGGUUGCGGAGGAGUUUGUCGUUGCUGCUAGUUCAAAGAAAGUGCAACAGGGGAAGCCUCCCAAUGGACCAUCGAUCUAGUCUUCCUUUAAGAAGAGGAAGCUACUACACAAAGAUGAUUUGGUGGUCAUUAAGUCGUUCUUGCACAAUUCCAUGGGAGAGGAGGAAUAUGUAUGGAGUAAUGGUCAUGUGUGGUUGAGUGCACGAUGCAUGCAGCGCCUAUUCGACCUAGAUGCUUGGGUGUAUGACAAGGUGUUAGAUACAUACAGAUUCUUGUUGAUUACAAGACCCACCAACACUGUGAAAAUUUUCUACGUAUUGUCGAUGGCCCCACGGUCGUGACAAAGAUCUGUACAAAUGGCUUCGGCUCAAUCCGAUCAUGGCAUCAGAAAAGGUCUUCAUAUCAAUAAUGGAUGGUACGCACUAGCAAUUAUUGGUGGUUGAUAUCAGCCAACACAAACUCCUAUCUUACAAAAUCGGAUCGUUAAGAGCAUGUCGGUCGGUUUACUUAUGUAUCCAUAUUUGUUUUUUCAUUCUUUGUCAGUAGUCAAAACUAAUUGAUAAGUUGGCGCUAAUCCUUCCUAGGAUCUUUGGAUGGCCAUAUGAAUUUGUUGACUCAACAUUGGAGCAACUUGUGUACGUUGGAAUGGAACAAUGUUACUGGUAUUUUGCACUUGUAAGGUUAUCCUGUGUAUCCACAAAUACUGAUCGUUGCAAAUUUUGUACAGGGACAGCGAAUGUGGUUUCUUUGUAAUGAAGUACAUGAAAUGUCUUGCACGGAAUGUGUGCUUCGACUUUGAUCUAAAAAAGAUUAAUGUACUACACUGGAGAUUGGUGCCCAAAUAUUGCAACAUAGGAUCCCCUGAGUAGAGCCUCUUAUGAGUAAUGGGUAUGGUUGUUUUCUAAAUUAGCACCAUUUAUGAGAUGGUGUUCUUGUACCUGCAUCAUGUUAUUGUUUAUUUUUCUCCCGGAUGGCUAGGUUGUCUGAGGUUAUCGACUUGGAAGGUUGUAGGUUGCAUGGUUAUUUGUUUGAUCCUCUUUGUGUGUGCGUCGGCCAAGCAGCUACUGCAAUGAAAAUGUGUUGGCUAACAAGGUUGGGUGGAAGCAUGGCAGUAGGGCAUUGAGAUAACUAGAAUUAGUUGGCUAAUACGAUCGGGUGCAAGGGCAGGUCCUCACCAUCCAAAUUUCUUGUGCUUCCUAUGGGAGCCAGAUUUUUGCUUGGUUGUCUUGUGGGAUCCCAUAAUGUAGAGGCUUGAUUGGAGUGUAGUGUUACCGAUCGAGGGCUAUAUAUCUGUCAAAGGGGGAUGGGAGAGGAGGGGGGAUAGAGUAAAGUCAUCCUGAUUAGAAUCGUGUUGUUGUCCAUGCUGACCUACAACCAGCCUCCAUGAAUCCUGCAGAUGGUCUACUCUUUUAAAAAGAACAAGGGAAUUAGGUGUGAAUAAGAUGAAAGAUGUGAUUCUCUGUUUUCUAGGGUCUUGUUUGGCGUGUCUUUUUGUGUAGGCUAACGGCUUUUCAGAAGUCCAGCAGCCUGCGUUUUUGCCUUUUCCCGUUUGGUUGGGAAAAGGUCUAGCUACCGAAAAAACGUAGUCCUAAAAAUACACAGGAAGCCCAUUUCAAGCUAUUUUCAAGAAGCUCUAAAUGGAGCUUUUCGACUUAUUUCAUCUCAUUUUCGAGAGGAAAUAUGCAUGAAAGACGUACCUCCAACCAAACGGGUUGUGGGCUGCCAAGAUCUUUAUGUAAAAGUCCACUACGUCUUUUGGCUAUCAGAUCUCCCAGAAGAGUUUUCAAAAAAGACUUGCCAAACGGCUAAACUUGGUAACCAGGACGGUGGGUGGUGGACAGGUGUACUUCUAGCUAAGUACGGAAUACAUGAGUGGGGCUAGGGUGCAAUGGACUUGCCCUCCAUGGGUUGUUGUGUUGUUUGUUGGAGGAAACGGACUGCCAAGUCUGAACUUGACAUCCACAAAUGGUUGUGUUGUGUGGAAGCUGAGAAUAGGGUCAAGUGCUAUUGUGAUGUUUGGUGUGAUGGCAGAUCGAUAAGGGUUUGGACCCCUGGGUUGUCGAGUGUAGAUUAAGGUAGAGAUGGAUUGCAAGAUACAUAUAGAGUCUUUAAUGGUAUUGGUUAUCCAUAUCCAUUAUGUAAUGCAUGACCCAAAACCACCCAACCUAUUAAAAUUUCAUCUAUUGGGUUAUUUACUUGUAAAUGGCUCACAUUUGAAGACACAACCCAAAAUAAUACCAAAAAGCAUCAUACUUGAAAAGAUAAAAAAGAAUGGAAAAAAUUCUUUCAAAGGCAAACAAUUGAACUUUCAUAUUUUUCUCUCGACGAUGCCAAAGGAUGGAGAGAAAAGGGAAAUUCAACAUCUAAUUCUAUAGCUUCUUAUUGAGCUUGUUGGCUUUCUCUUUCUAUGUCUUUUAGAAAAUCAAACCAUACACAGAAUAAUAAUAAGCCCAAGGAAUAUAAGCAAUUGAACUAAUACUUGCAUUGCAAAAAUUAUGGGUAUAUUAAAUGUAAGUUUUUUAAAAUAUAUAAUGAACAAUAUUUUUUGAGCUAGAGAGGUUAAUAUUAAAAAUGCUUUAAUAGAUUUUGUAUUAUAAAAAUAUUCUUAUGUUUUUAAUAAGCAAAUACCAUCUAGAUUAAAGGGAAAUUCUAUAAAAUAGUUGUAAGUGUUGGGAUUGUGUCUUAUUUUACAUCCGUUGGAUUAAUUUUAAUCUAACAGUUGGUGUGGUCCCUAUUUAGGUUAAAGAGGUUUUACAUAUAAAAGCCUUCUUUUGUAUGUAGGGUUAAGGUUUUUUUUUUUGGAGAAAAGGUGUAAGAGAAAAAUAUAGAGUGCUCUUGGUGUGAGAGUGAGUUUUUUCUCUUGUUUUUGUUCUUCGGGUUAAGAGGAAAGGGAGAACGGGUGUACAAGGGUAAGGGUUGGUUUGGGCUGCAAGCCGCAAGGUACUUGUAUUGUUCUCAGUUUUCUUUCAUAGUGAAGAACAAAUUUCGUCUCUCCCAUGGACGUAGGCGGUAAGGCAGAACCACGUAAAUCUUUGUGUCUUUGUGGUGCUUGUCUUUAUUUGUCUUUGCUUGGAUUUUAUCAUUUUGCUUAUAUCAUAUUUUUCGUUGUUGCUAUUUCAAAUACCUUGUUAUUUUAUACUGUGGGUGGUUGUUGUAAGGCCCCAACAAAGUGGUGUCAGAGCUCCCAGGUUAGUGUUUAUAAAAUUGCUUGAGAGAUAAUGGUAGCAAAAGGUAUAGGUUCUCAGUUUCAGAUUGAAAGGUUUGAUGGCAAAGGCAGUUUUACCCUAUGGCAAAGAAGGGUAAAGGACAUCCUGGUUCAACAAGGCUUGGCUAGAGUGUUGAAAAGGAUGGGAAGCCAGAAGACAUAAAGGAUGCUGAUUGGGAGGACAUCGAGUCAAGAUGUGUUAGUAUGCUUCGAUUGCUCCUGACUGAUAAUGUUAUGGAGGAAGAUUCUACACUAGAAUUGUGGGACAAGCUGGAGAAGUUUUAUUUGGGAAAAAGCUUAACUACAAAGCUAUAUCUGAAGCGGCAGUUGUACGGGCUGAAGAUGGAAGAAGGUGGGAAUCUCUUUGAACACCUAAAUGUGUUCAAGGGUAUUUUGGAUCAACUAGGGAAAGUUGAUGUCAAGGUGGAGAAAGAAGACAAGGCCCUUUUGCUUCUUACCUCACUUCCUGAUUCGUAUGAAAACUUGGUGACAACAUUGCUGUAUGGGAAAGAUACAGUGAAGUUGGAAGAAGUUACUACAUCUCUUCUAUCCAAUGAGAUUAGGAGGAAGCCCAAAUAUGAGAACGGGCAAGACUCUACGUUGGUCAUGGUGGGAACGGAUCGAAAAGGAAGGUCUUCUGACAGGGGGUCUGAGAGCAACAGGUCUAGAUCCAAGGCUAAGGAAAAGGGUAAAGUACAAUGUUAUAUAUGCAAGGAAUUUGAUCACAUGAAGAGAGAUUGUCCUACAUGAAAAAGGAGUGGGGAUGAAUUCAGAAGCGUGGCAAUUGCAUCUAAUGAUGAUGGAGACGUUUUCACAGUCUCUGAAGGUAUGUGCAAAUUUUCUCCAAAUAAGUGGGUUUUAGAUUCUGGAUGUUCUAUGCAUAUUUGCUCUAGGAAGGAAUAUUUUGACACGUUCCAAGAGAGGAAGACCAGUGGUCUCCUUGGGUGAUGGAUAUACAUGUAACAUCACGGGUGUUGGGACAAUGAAAAUCAAAAUGUUUGAUGAAGUGGUUCGCACUUUGGGUGGUGUGGCGUAUGUCCCAAAAAUGUGCAAGAAUCUAAUAUCACUUAGCUGGUUAGACUCCAAGGGAUGCAAGGUUUUUGUUGCAGGUGGAGUUAUGAAAAUCAUACGUGGCGGUAUGAUCCUGAUAAAGGGAGAAAAUGCAAGGGUUUGUAUCAUCUGGUUGGGAGUACAGUGGUUUCCAAGACCUCGAUGGAGUGUUGGAAACAGAAUGCGCAAGGUAGUGUGGCCACACAGAGGGUCUCUUUUGCGGAUAGAGUGGAGACAAGUGCUACAAGUUUCCAAAGUAUAGAUGAUGGUGAGAGGAAGAUUCCUGUUGGAAGAGAGGAAAGAUCGAGGUCCCUCUCUGAAGUUAACUAGGAUUGUUAGCUUGGGAACAGUUACAUAGGUACAUUGGCCGUCUUGUUUGAAUCAGGUGGAGUCAGGACCAAAUGAUUUAGGUUAUUUGUAGCUGGUGAUGCUUUACAAGGCUAAUGGAGGUUUACGGUAUUUGCAAACAGGUGGAGGCACAAAUAGUAUAUCUCUAUGGUGGUUGAAAAAUAAGCAAAGGUGGAGAUUGUUGGGAUUGUCUUAUUUUACAAUCGUUGGAUUAAUUUUAAUCUAACGGUUGGUGUGGUCCCUCUUUAGGUUAAAAAGGUUUUACAUAUAAAAGCCUUCUUUUGUAUGUAGGAUUUAGGUGUUUUGGGGAGAAAAGGUGUAAGAGAAAAAUACAGAGUGCUCUUGGUGUGAAAGUGAGUUUUCUUCUCUUGUUUUUGUUCUUCGGGUUAAGAGGAAAUAGAGAACGGGUGUACAAGGAUAAGGGUUGGUUUGGGCUGCAAGCCGCAUGGUACUUGUAUUGUUCUCAGUUUUCUUUCAUAGUGAAGAACAGAUUUCAUCUCUCCCGUGGACGUAGGCAGGCCGAACCACGUAAAUCUUUGUGUCUUUGUAGUGCUUGUCUUUAUUUGUCUUUACUUGGAUUUUAUCAUUUUUGCUUAUAUCAGAUUUCUCGUUGUUGCUAUUUCAAAUACCUUGUUAUUUUAUAUUGUGGGUGGUUGUUGUGAGGCCCUAACAGUAAGGCCAGACAUGUUGUAUGGAGUAGGGUGUUAGGUAGUCAAAAAAAUAAAAUGUCCAAAAAGUGCGUGUGGCAUAAAUUGCAUGAUGAGAUGGGUGUGUGGAAAAACUAUAAAGGACAUGGUUAGAAAUGAGAGGAAUCUAGGAGUAGCUUGGAUAAGUGAUAAAAUGUAAGAAAAUAGACUAAGAUGGCUUGGUCAUGUGCAUAGAAUACCUUUGACAACAUCCAUAAAAAGUUAUUUGCUGCAAGUUGAAGGAGCUAGAAGGGAUAUGGGCAAACCAAAAAGGACAUGGGUUGAAGUAGUAAGAAAUGAUCUAAGCACUAGGUGUUUUU